rnacentral:snRNA from 1 species
UUAGCACGGUUAAUAAUA